GAGCGACGCUGGCGGCAGGCUAACACAUGCAGUCGAACGGCUCUUCGGAGCAGUGGCGGACGGGUGAGUAACGCGUGGGAACGUGCCCUUUGGUUCGGAACAACACAGGGAAACUUGUGCUAAUACCGGAUGUGCCCUUCGGGGGAAAGAUUAUCGCCAUUGGAGCGGCCCGCGUUGGAUUAGGUAGUUGGUGGGGUAAUGGCCCACCAAGCCGACGAUCCAUAGCUGGUCUGAGAGGAUGAUCAGCCACACUGGGACUGAGACACGGCCCAGACUCCUACGGGAGGCAGCAGUGGGAAUCUUGCGCAAUGGGCGAAAGCCUGACGCAGCCAUGCCGCGUGAAUAUGAAGGUCUUAGGAUUGUAAAUUCUUUCACAGGGGAAGAUAAUGACGGUACCCGGAGAAGAAGCCCCGGCUAACUUCGUGCCAGCAGCCGCGGUAAUACGAAGGGGGCUAGCGUUGCUCGGAAUUACUGGGCGUAAAGGGCGCGUAGGCGGACAGUUAAGUCAGAGGUGAAAGCCCAGGCUCAACCUUGGAAUUACCUUUGAUACUGGCUGUCUUGAGUUCGGGAGAGGUGAGUGGAAUGCCGAGUGUAGAGGUGAAAUUCGUAGAUAUUCGGCGGAACACCAGUGGCGAAGGCGACUCACUGGCCCGAUACUGACGCUGAGGCGCGAAAGCGUGGGAGCAAACAGGAC
rnacentral:rRNA from 1 species